AAAAAAUAUAAAAUAUAGGGUUACAUUGAGCUAAAAUACACCCUGGUAUGUUCCUAGAAAACACAGAUAGUAUUUUUAUUUUACUUAAUACAUACUUAAUACAUCAGCUCUUACAAGAUCACAAUCAUGUGUGUUUGGGUUGCCCUCUAUCAUCCUACAUAUGCCAAAUAGAAUUUUUCUUAACAUUGCAAAAGAGAGGAAAAAUAAGUAUUACAAUAAGCAGCUUUUUUUUGUUAUGUCAACACAUUAUUUGUUCUAAUUUGUAUAUAUUAUCAGGCACGUCUAGAUUCUAUAGCAAAAUAUUUAUUCGGAGCAAAUGUUCGGUAAGCAUUUUUCCAUGAAAAACGGUCUUUGCAUUCCAUCAUUUCUCCAUGCUGUGCAUAUUCCAUGUACAAUGAAACGGUGUUCUCUUCUAUAUAGUACACUCUUGGUUUUAGUGCAAGUGACAUAUAUUACUCAGCACAAAUGCAUGCACAGAUUCAACAACAAAAUGCAUGCAAUGUGAGUGGAAAACAUCCUCUUAAUUUUCUACAGUCUAGAGAAGUUGUACAAGAAACAAGAGAAGUACAAGGGCAGAGGAAGUACAAGGACUGUGGAACGCAAGGUGGAACGCAAGUCCACACGCCCCCACAAGAAACAUCAUAUGGAAGCACGAAGCAAAGGAAUAGACGGCUGGACUGAGGCUUGGAAUGCAACGUCGAUCCAGCAUUAGAAUUAACAAGCAACAGCUGUGAGAGAGAGGGAUAUUUAAACAGCAGGAACCAGACGAGUCUAUCAAAUUAUGACUGAGGAAGCCGAGAGAACGGUUAAACGCAUUUCUUACAGCAUAAGACUUGAAUUAUACACUGGUAUUUGUAUUUACAUUUUAUUGUUUUUUAUACAAUUAUUAAUAAAGUGAUUGUUUUAAAAUACCCAUUUGAAUUCAUGCACUACUACAGAAGGGAGUGUAGUCCCCAACUACACAAAGCUUGUUUACUGAGCCAGGUCACAGGCUCUACAUUUGAGAGUAUAUAAGAAUCAGCCACUCUUUUCUUUAUAUACCAAACAGAAUUAUA